rnacentral:lncRNA from 1 species
UUUAUUUUCUCAUCCAUGGUCAAUCAAUUAGAAUCCAUCAAGACAAUAACAUCAGAAAAUUCGACUGAAUUUGGAAAAUUAGUGUCAAAAUAAUAUCAAAACCUUCAUUUGGCUCAUGCAUCAUGCAAGACUCCUGACAUCAAAUUAUCUUCAUACGAUAGGAAUUGGAGUGAACCAUGCUUGCAGCUUUUAUGGACAUACAACUAACGAUAUCACUC